GACGAACGCUGGCGGCGUGCUUAACACAUGCAAGUCGAACGGUAAGGCCCUUCGGGGUACACGAGUGGCGAACGGGUGAGUAACACGUGGGUGAUCUGCCCUGCACUUCGGGCUAAGCCUGGGAAACUGGGUCUAUUACCGGCUAGGACUCCUGGCUUCAUGGUUGGCGGGGGCAAGCUUUUGCGGUGUGGGAUGGGCACGCGGCCUAUCAGCUUGUUGGUGGGGUAAUGGCCUAUCAAGGCGACGACGGGUAGCCGGCCUGAGAGGGUGACCGGUCACACGGGGACUGAGAUACGGCCCAGACUCCUACGGGAGGCAGCAGUGGGGAAUAUUGCACAAUGGGCGCAAGCCUGAUGCAGCGACGCCGCGUGAGGGAUGACGGCCUUCGGGUUGUAAACCUCUUUCAGCUAUGACGAAGCGCAAGUGACGGUAGUAGCAGAAGAAGGACUGGCCAACUACGUGCCAGCCGCCGCGGUAA
rnacentral:rRNA from 1 species